UUCCGGAUAUUGACUAUCCGGUUUCCGUUUUUGUGUUUGAAAUUAUCUGUACCGGAAGUACUAAAACAACAACAUGUGCUCCGAUCUUAUCGGAAAGUUUCCACCUUUUGGAAGACUUCUAGAGUCUUUUGGUCACCACGGAGUGAGUAAUUAGUGUUUUAAUGUGUUCUUAAUUACUAUAAUGUUCAUUCGAUUUGUUGAUACGAAGUUUAUUUGUGUAAAUGGGCAAAUUUCGAAACGCUACUGUCAAGUGGAAAUAAGGUCAAAGUACUGAGGGUUUUGAACUCGUUAAUUUAGUAUUUGUGGAAUUUAUUGGAACGUCUAAAAUGUGAAUAUUUGUAACAAUUAUGUAUCAUUAAGUGGAGUUGUGUAGCAAUUCUUGUCAUUUGUAUUUUGUAGUUUUUUACCCUCUCCGGAGGUAUGGAGCAAUAAAGUUUCUCCGGAAAUUCACCCUCAGUUGUUAUUGCACAGUAAAAAAUCCACGAAUAUGGCCGACAGCAGAUCCCUCUCAGGAGAGCAUGGACGUCGCACACGACGCCUCACACCAGGAGGUCAGGAGUUAUAUGAAAACUCUGUGUUCAAAUAUAAGGAAGGUUUGCGACGUAUUCAAAUGGACAUUGAUAUUCUGAUAGCCCAGGUAGAGAGCACUAAGGAACCAUCAUCCCUAAAGGAUAACCUAUGGGACUCGUGCCGUAAGUACGAAAUGAGUGCAUGGGAUUUCUCAAAUUUCCUUGUCAGACAGAAAACUGAAGAUAGUGAGUUAGAAAGUAUUUCACAGGGCCUCAUUUUACAAUCUGUUAAGGGGAAGGUUGAUGAAGCUGUAAGGACAUUGGAGAGAAAACUACACAAAACUAACAAAUCAGUUUAUUCAUCUAGGGCGCGAUCCACAUCCAAGAGCAGUUUAAGUUCAGCGUCAACAGCAUCUUACUUUAAACGUAAGUUAGAUUUGGAUAAAGCGAAACUACGUCAAAGGUAUAUCGAGCAAGAAUGUACGCUCGAAAGACAAAAGACAGAGUUAGAACUCAAUAUGAGGCGGCUGGAAUCACAGCGAAAUGUUGAUGAGGCAGAAUGUGAACUCAGUGCUAUAAUGAAAGAGUUUAUGGAGGACAACCAGUCGGUGACCUCAGAUGUGCUAUCUAAGCAAAGAGUGGAUGAUUAUGUUACCGAGCAGUUCAAUAUCAAGCAAGAGGCUAAUGUUGAGAGUAUAAUAAAUCAGCCUGGUGAUCCUAUGGACAACACAUUUGUGACCCUUAAUAGUGCUCGCCAUGAGACAACACUGUUGCUCCCGCCACAGUAUCAACAUUCCAAUACCAGGGAGCCAGACACAAAACCUAGAACACUGGAAUUUGAUUCGGCAGGGACAACACUUCCAUCAAAUACUCCAUGGUCAACUAUUGAGCCAAUCUAUUCAACCUCCAUUGAUUGGCAGUCUAAGCAUCAGCUCAUCGAUCCACCUUUUGGGUUAACAAGGACGAGUGAUGUAGCUCCCCCAUCUGUGUCUUGGUCAACCAUGAGACACCCCCCUGCCACAUUUACUACUUGUAAGACACCUGAUACUUACCUGCCAGGGAUGCCACCAGCAGUAUCUCCACGUGUCAUUUCUAGACCUUUAACCUCAGGAAAUACACAUCAUUCCACUGGUGUCACCAUCCCCUCAAGAGUGUCUGAGGAGGCUACUAACGUGGAAGUGUCUGAGGAGGCUACUAAUGUGGAAGUGUCUCCGGAACUAACCAGUGUGCAUACAUCCCGGGAGGAGACCAACGUGGAAGCAUCUAAGGAGGCUACCAAUGAGAAAAUGCCGGGAGUUCAGAUUUGUCAUGACAUGUCAACAUUUCUUAUAAAGAAAGACCUUCUUAAGUCUCGUCUCACAAAGUUUGAAGACAAGCCUGAAUAUUUUGAAUCAUGGAGAAGAACCUUUAAGAGUGUUGUGACAGGCCUGCAGUUGUCUCCCCUGGAAGAGCUUGAGUUGUUACAGAUUUGGUUGGGUCCGGAAUCAUCGUCCUAUGCUCGGAGUAUACGAGCUUCACACUCUGAUCCUGCAAUAGCAUGUAAUCGAUUAUGGGAAAGACUGAUGGAUAGGUACGGUAGGCCAGAAGUUGUUGAGGCUGCUUUAAAACAGAAACUUGCGAUGUUUCCGAAGAUAAGUAAUAAGGACGUCAAACAGCUAUAUGAACUGGCAGAUAUUGUGGCAGAGAUAGCGUCUGUUAAGAGUAACCCUCGUCUAGCUACACAACUUGCCUAUUUUGAUUCCUCAGGGGGAGUUAAUCUUAUCGUACAAAAGCUUCCGUAUGGUUUGCAGGAGGGUUGGACGAAGCACGCAAACAAGUACAAGAAUAUAAAUGACUCGUGCUUUCCUCCAUUUACAGUGUUUGUCAAGUUUCUAUUUGACAUUGCGAGAAUGAAGAACGACCCAUCCUUUGUUUAUGAUACGCCACAGGAAGCUAAACCAGGUCAUAGUAAAGGAAAAACCGGUCAGCAGGUUACAAGUAGGAAGACUGAGACUGUGGCUCCUUGUCGAGUAAAUCAACAGGAGACCAACAAAAAGGAAAUUCAGCAAGUAUGUCCACUUCAUCAGACUGCACAUAGUCUUAACAUGUGUCGAGCAUUUCGACAGAAAGGCAUAUCAGAAAGGAAACAGUUUUUGAGGGAUAAUGGGAUUUGUUAUAGGUGUUGUGGACAGAAAAAACACUUGGCGAAGGACUGUAAGAAAACUAUUUCUUGCGCUCUGUGUAAAUCACAAAGUCAUCCUACGGCGCUACAUGUAGCGGAACCUACCAGACAGACUGAUAACACUUCACCCACUAUUGAUGACCAUGCAGUGAGCACUACCUGCACUGCAGUGUGUGGAGAUCCAGCCAAGGCCAGCAAAUCUUGUGCUAAAACUGUUUUAGUCGUUGUACACCCCAUUGGUGAUCCUGAUAACGCUCUCCGUCUAUAUGCUGUAAUUGAUGAGCAAAGUAAUAGAACAUUAGCCAAGUCACAACUCUUCGAUUAUUUUGAGGUGUCUGGACCAGAGAUUCCGUAUUCCUUGUCGAGCUGCUCUGGAGAGUAUCAACAGUCAGGACGAAGGGCUUCAGGGUUGGUUAUAAAGCCGUUAGACAACAGCUGUAGCUUACAGUUACCCACUGUCAUAGAAUGCGAUGAGAUCCCUGACACACGAGAUGAAAUCCCGUCACCUGCAGUAGCUAGAGCUUACCGGCAUAUGCAGGACAUAGCUGAUGAGAUACAUCCUCUGGAUUCUAGUGCGGACAUUCUUCUCCUCAUAGGAAGAGAUCUCCUCCCAGCUCAUCAUGUAUUGGAUCAAAGACUCGGAGACUGCCCAAGUACACCCUAUGCUCAGAAGCUUCGAUUAGGGUGGGUAGUGGUAGGAGAGACUUGUUUGGGAGUUGUUCAUAGACCUGAGAAAAUAUCAGUCCUUAAGACCUUCACGCUGACGGAUGGAAGAUCCUCACAUAUGGUGCCGUGUGUGAAUAAUUUUAACACGAAGGAACCCGAUGUGUUCAUCCGAACAAUGCUUGACAACUUUACCGGACCUUCUGUAGAGGACAGAAAGUUUGUUGACCUUAUUAAAAAGGGAAUCACAAGGGACGACGAAGGAUGUUGGUGUAUGCCAUUGCCUUUCCGAGAGAUUCGUAAACGCUUACCGGGCAACUUUGUACAAGCACGCAAGAGGGCAAUCGUUCUGGCCCAUUCUUUACGCAGAAAUGAUGUGAAGCGAGAUCAUGUCAAGGAAUUCAUGGAGAAACUGUUCAUCAACGGUCACGCAGAGCUUGCCCCAGCUUUGACAGAGGGAGAAGAACAUUGGUAUUUGCCACUCUUUUCUGUAUAUCAUCCAAAGAAGCCUGACAAGGUUAGGUGUGUUUUUGAUUCUUCCGCGAAGUGUCAAGGUGUGAGUCUCAACGACGCUCUCUUGCCCGGACCAGAUUUGCUGAACAGCUUACUUGGCAUCAUCAUUCGGUUCCGUCAACAUUCCGUGGCAGUCAGUGCUGAUAUCGAACAGAUGUUUUACCGGUUUUCGGUCCCAGUUGAACAUAGAAACUAUCUUCGCUUCUUGUGGCAUCGUGACAAUGAUAUCGACCAGGAUUUGCAAGAAUAUAGGAUGACACGUCAUGUGUUUGGGAAUAGCCCAUCGCCGUCUAUCGCAACCUUCGGUCUUCGCGAGACUGUGGCUAGUGCCGAUACAGAUGUCAAACGUUUUGUAGAGGACAAUUUUUACGUAGACGAUGGGCUGACCUCUGUUGAUACACCAGAAGAAGCGAUUGGCCUACUGUGGAGAACUCAAGAUGUUCUUAGGAAAGAAGGAAACAUCAGGUUACAUAAGAUCACCUCAAACAAUUUGAAUGUUCUAAAUGCGUUCCCAAAGGACGAUUUGGCGAAGGACCUGGUGUCUUACGACCUGGAAUUGAGCGAGACUCCCCCACAGAGGAGUCUAGGCAUAAGCUGGGACAUUGCUUCAGACUCAUUCACCUUCAGAGUAUCUAAGGCUGUUCAACCUUACACGAAACGUGGCGUCUUGUCAACAAUUAACAGCUUGUAUGACCCUAUUGGAUUUUUGUCUCCUGUUGUCAUUAAAGGUAAACUCAUCAUGAGGGACAUCAUGUGCACUGGGCUUGAUUGGGAUGAUCCACUUCCUCCCGGCACCUACUCACAGUGGUGCGAAUGGCGAGCAUCUCUGUCUCUGUUGGAGGACCUCUCCAUCCCUCGUGCAUACGCUUACGUCACUACAUGCAAUGUAGUUCGCAGGGAGCUUCAUAUUUUCUCAGAUGCUUCUCAGAAAGCCAUUGGUGCAGUUGUGUACAUGAAGAUCGUUGACGACCAGGGUAAGCAGCAUCUUAGCUUUGUUCUUGGCAAGGCAAAAGUCGCCCCAUCCCACGGCCAUACGAUUCCCCGAUUAGAGCUUUGUGCUGCUUUGCUCGCAACACAGUUGAAGGACACUGUUACAAGACAACUCGACUACGACAUGGACAACAUCACGAUGUACACGGAUAGCAGAGUUAUUCUUGGAUACAUUCAGAAUGAGCGUAGACGAUUCUAUAUUUAUGUAGGGAACAGAGUUGAUCAGAUUCGUCAUUCAACUAAACCAGAGGACUGGCGAUACGUAUCGACUGAAGUCAAUCCUGCAGAUAUUGCCACCCGAUCUCUUGAUGCGGAGUCAAUUCAGAACAGUGUUUGGUUGCUGGGACCAUCUUUUCUUCUAGAUGCGGAAGACAGUCAUCACUUCCCUGAAGAUUGUGACAAGUAUCCUCUGGUGGAACCAGAUUCAGACAAGGAAGUGAGACCUUAUUUGUCCACGAUGAUGACCAGCUGCACGGAUUCCCGAACUUCUUUGGGAUCGCAUCGCUUUGAGAAGUUUUCUAAAUGGUCGUCGUUAGUGAAAGCUAUCGCUACUUUGCAACAUGUCGCUGCCUCUUUCAGUGAAGCUAAAUAUCACGGCGGUUGGCAUCGUUGUAUACAGUCUUCUGAUGGGACAUCCUGUAGAAAUGCCGAGUACUUUAUCUUGAAGGAAAUUCAGAAAGAUCACUUCUCGGGGGAAAUCCAUUGCAUUAGGGAGGGGAGAUCUAUCCCACGUAACAGUUCUAUCAUAGGACUCUCUCCAUUUAUGGAUUCCAACGGAGUAUUGCGUGUAGGAGGACGCCUCGCCAAGGGAAAGGAUCAUCUUCACCAUACUGACCUACACCCUAUCAUCAUUCCAAAGAACUGUCAUAUAGCCAUAUUGUUAGUUCGUCAUCAUCAUGAAGCCGUUCAACACCAAGGGCGUCGCAUUACGGAGGGAAGGUUACGCAGUUCUGGUUUCUGGAUCAUAGGCAUGAAGCGUCUUGUGGGAUCUGUGAUCCACCGUUGCGUAACCUGUAGAAAGCUGAGAGGAUCAUUUUGUGCUCCGAGGAUGGCAGACCUUCCAGUGGAUAGGCUUUCCCCUGGACCUCCUUUCUCCUUUGUCGGAGUGGACACAUUUGGUCCGUGGAGCGUCACAGCAAGGAAGACGAGAGGAGGUCUCGCCAAUCAGAAGAGAUGGGCCAUCCUUUUUACUUGUUUGGCCUCCAGAGCUAUACACAUCGAAGUGGUAGAGGAACUCAGUAGUUCCUCGUUUAUAAAUGCACUCCGAAGGUUCGUGUCAAUUCGUGGACCCAUUGUACAGUUGCGCUCGGACCGUGGCACCAAUUUUGUGGGUGCUGCCAAGGAGUUAGGACUCAAGACAGUAUUUGUCGAAGGAAAAGAAACUCAGGAUUUUCUACAGGAAAACAGAUGCACGUGGAUAUUCAACCCUCCACAUGCGUCCCAUUUCGGUGGAGUGUGGGAACGCAUGAUUGGCGUUUCCCGGAAAAUACUUGACGCAAUGUUACUGCGUUCGGACCGAAAGAAUCUCACCCAUGAGACCUUGUGUACAUUUCUUGCAGAGGUCUGUGCAAUCGUGAACUCUAGGCCACUUGUACCACUCACGGAGGACCCGGAUGAUCCUUCAGUUUUGUCACCAUCCAUGCUUCUCACACAAAAGAGUGUUAACCAGCCGGAAUCUCUACCAUCUUUGGACAUUAAGGACAUGUACAAAGCCCAGUGGCGCCAUGUACAGAUCCUCAGUAAUGAGUUUUGGAAGAAGUGGCAAAGAGAGUAUUUGUGUGCCCUUCAGGCCAGAUGCAAAUGGACUUCGGAGAGACCAAACCUGAAAGAAGGGGAUAUUGUGUUGUUGAGGGAAUACGAUUGCCAUCGGACUGAAUGGCCACUUGCAGCAGUGUCAAAGACAUUCCCAGCCUCUGAUGGUUGUGUUCGUGAAGUGGAGGUGCGCACUUACCAAGGAGGGAAAUUCUCACACUUCGUGAGACCCGUUCAUGAACUUGUUCCAUUGUUAUUAUAGUGCAUAUGCCUUUUGCGUUUGAACUGAAAUAUUCUGAACAUUCUGGAUAUUCGCUAUAUUCGAUUUAUUCGAUGUUUGCAUUCCCUGUAUUCACAAUUCGUGAGGAUUUUGAAGUUCGAAAUCUUAAUAAUUUUAGAGAUUUUUGUUUAUAUUUCAUUAGUGAUUUUACAAAUCAGGAGGGGAGUGUGAUGUUCCGGAUAUUGACUAUCCGGUUUCCGUUUUUGUGUUUGAAAUUAUCUGUACCGGAAGUACUAAAACAACAACAUGUGCUCCGAUCUUAUCGGAAAGUUUCCACCUUUUGGAAGACUUCUAGAGUCUUUUGGUCACCACGGAUUUUUUACCCUCUCCGGAGGUAUGGAGCAAUAAAGUUUCUCCGGAAAUUCACCCUCAGUUGUUAU